AAUAUUGCGCAAUGGAGGGAACUCUGACGCAGCGACGCCGCGUGAGCGAUGAAGGGUUUCGGAUCGUAAAGCUCUGUCCUUGGGGAAGAAGGUCUUCGGAGUUGACGGUACCUAAGGAGGAAGCCCCCGCUAACUACGUGCCAGCAGCCGCGGUAAUACGUAGGGGGCAAGCGUUGUACGGAAGUAUUGGGUGUAAAGGGGGCGUAGGCGGCAUUUUAAGUCAGGUGUGAAAGCCCACGGCUUAACCGUGGGAUUGCAUUUGAAACUGGAAGGCUUGAGUAUCGGAGAGGGUAGUGGAAUUCCCAGUGUAGCGGUGGAAUGCGUAGAUAUUGGGAGGAACACCAGUGGCGAAGGCGACUACCUGGACGAAAACUGACGCUGAGGCACGAAAGCUAGGGGAGCAAAC
rnacentral:rRNA from 1 species